rnacentral:rRNA from 1 species
AGCGAACGCUGGCGGCAGGCUUAACACAUGCAAGUCGAGCGGGCCCUUCGGGGUCAGCGGCAGACGGGUGAGUAACACGUGGGAACGUACCCUGUGGUUCGGAAUAACGCUGGGAAACUAGCGCUAAUACCGGAUACGCCCUUUUGGGGAAAGGCUUGCUGCCGAAGGAUCGGCCCGCGUCUGAUUAGCUAGUUGGUGGGGUAAUGGCCUACCAAGGCGACGAUCAGUAGCUGGUCUGAGAGGAUGAUCAGCCACACUGGGACUGAGACACGGCCCAGACUCCUACGGGAGGCAGCAGUGGGGAAUAUUGGACAAUGGGCGCAAGCCUGAUCCAGCCAUGCCGCGUGAGUGAUGAAGGCCUUAGGGUUGUAAAGCUCUUUUGUCCGGGACGAUAAUGACGGUACCGGAAGAAUAAGCCCCGGCUAACUUCGUG